rnacentral:rRNA from 1 species
UUAGUUGUAGUUAUUAAAUUGGAAUUAGUAUUAGUUAUGUUCUUGAAAAUUAAAAAUUUUGGCGGUAUUUUAGUCUCUUCAGAGGAACCUGUUCUAUAAAUGAUAUUCCACGAUUAAUUAAACUUAUUUUAUUAAUUUGUAUAACGUCGUAGAAAAAUAUUUUAAAAGAAUUUUAAUAUUUAAUUUAUAUAAAAAUAUAAAAAAUCAGAUCAUGUUGCAGUUUAUAAGUAAGUAGAAAUGGGUUACAAUAUAAUAAUAUAAACGGAUUAAUUUAUUUAAAAUUAUUAAGAAGGUGGAUUUGAAAGUAAUUAAUUAUAUAUUUUUUUAAUGAUUUAAGCUCUAAAAUAUGU